GGCUCCGUAGUUCAAUGGAUAGAAUACUUGAAUUCGGAUCAAGUGGUAGGGGCUCGAUUCCCUUCGGACUA
rnacentral:tRNA from 1 species